GACGAACGCUGGCGGCGUGCUUAACACAUGCAAGUCGUACGGAAAGGCCCUUCCGGGGGUACACGCGUGGCUAACGGGUGAGUAACACGUGAGUAACCUGCCCACAACUUUGGGAUAACUCUAGUAAACUGGUGCUAAUACUGGACAUGUGCUCCUGCUGCAUGGUGGGGGUUGGAAAGCUCCGGGGGUUGGGGAUGGACUCGCGGCCUAUUAGCUUGUUGGUGGGGUAGUGGGCUACCAAGGCGGCGACGGGUAGCCGGCCUGAGAGGGUGACCGGCCACAUUUGGACUGGGGUACGGCCCAGACCCCUAAGGGGGGCAGCAGGGGGGAAUAUUGGCAAAUGGGGGGAAGCCUGAUGCAGCCACGCCGGGUGCGGGAUGACGGGCUUCGGGUUGUAAACCGGUUUCAGCAGGGACGAAGCUGUUUGUGACGGUAACUGGAGAAGAAGCACCGGCUAACUACGUG
rnacentral:rRNA from 1 species